CCUACGGGGGGCAGCAGUAGGGAAUCUUCCACAAUGGACGAAAGUCUGAUGGAGCAACGCCGCGUGAGUGAAGAAGGGUUUCGUCUCGUAAAGCUCUUUUGGUAGUGAAGAAAGAUAGAGGUAGUAACUGGCCUUUAUUUGACGGUAAUUACUUAGAAAGUCACGGCUAACUACGUGCCAGCAGCCGCGGUAAUACGUAGGUGGCAAGCGUUGUCCGGAUUUAUUGGGCGUAAAGCGAGUGCAGGCGGUUCAAUAACUCUGAAGUGAAAACCCUCUGCCCAAACCGAGAAUU
rnacentral:rRNA from 1 species